GAUGAACGCUGGCGGUAUGCUUAACACAUGCAAGUCGAACGGUCUCUUCGGAGAUAGUGGCGGACGGGUGAGUAACGCGUGAGAAUCUGGCUCUAGGUUUGGGACAACCACUGGAAACGGUGGCUAAUACCGGAUAUGCCGAAAGGUGAAAGGUUAACUGCCUGGAGAUGAGCUCGCGUCUGAUUAGCUAGUUGGUAAGGUAAAAGCUUACCAAGGCGACGAUCAGUAGCUGGUCUGAGAGGACGAUCAGCCACACUGGGACUGAGACAC
rnacentral:rRNA from 1 species